rnacentral:lncRNA from 1 species
UGCUAAAAUUAUAUUUAAAAUAAACGUAUUAUCAUUAUAAUAUAAUCAUAAUUCUAAUAAUAAAAUAGUAAUAAUCUUAUAUGUUAGGUACUAAAAAUAUUUUUUAUUUUUUACGUGUAAUACAAUAGAUAUUAUACAAUACGAAUCAUACCAUUCUGUAUUAUUUAAUAUUAUUGUAUUACUUAAGACACUAACGCUACACGUUAUAAUAAUGAAAUUUAAUUAUUAUUAUUAUAGUAUAAUAAAUAUUAAAAUUAAACGUAAAUGGAUUAAUGAUACAAAAAUACAUUUUUUUUUUUUCCAUAUCAAAAACACUAAUAUUAUAGUUAUAGUAAUAAUAAUAAUAUACGCUCGUUAAAAAAACCAAAAAAAAAAAAAAAAAAAAAAAAAAAAAAAUAGUAUAUGUAGGUCAGUUAGUAAAACCCCUAUAUAAAGAGCACAGAAUAAUAAAUUCAUCAGACGGCAGAGAUGUAUAUAGGUAAAUAAUAAUAUAUUUUUAUUUUUUAUUAGGAGAUUUUAAUGAUAUUUUUAGGUUUUUCGACCGUUCCGAGAUCGACUUUUUAUAAUACACGCAAUAUGCAUGUAUAAAAACUUCGACGACUCGAAAACGUAAAAAAAGAGAAAAGAAACAAAUACAAAAAAGGCGGAAAAACAUCGUUAAUAAUAUCGUUAACUCUUUUUCUUUUUUCAUUUUUUUAUCCUCUCCGGCGAAACCUUACCUAACCGUUUAUCCGUUGCUCGCAUCAUCAGCUGCAUUAUCUAUAUCAAUAUGCUCGUUAGAUAGAGGUUAUUCUAACGCAUCGUUGUACAUGGAAAAAAAAAAUAUUUUGCCUAAUAAUAAUAAUAAUAUCGUCAUCGUUGUACCGUAAUAAAAUAUUCGCGACGAUGUUUUAUAGAUUAAAAAAAAAAAAAAAAAAAAUUAUAAAUAUACGUAUGAUUAUAAUAUAUUAUUAUAUAAAUAUAAAUAAAUGAAUAUUUACACGCGACAAAAUAAUAGGAGAAAAAAAAAAAAAAAAAAAAAAAAAAUCGAAAUAUUUCAUAAUUCUAGAACAAUAAUAUUACGGUUUAGACACUAGUUUUAACUAUAUACGCAUGAUCGUAUAUUCUUAUAAUGUUUAAUAUUAUAUAAAGUAAUCGUAUAGUAAUAAUAACGAAACGUUAUUAUCGUAACACAGUAACUACAUAGAUUAUAGAGACCGUGAAACGGAGACAGGGGGACAGGGACACAGUGGACAGAGCGCGACAGUGGUAUUAUUAUUCUCCUAAAAACGAUUUGUGCGGCGCGCCUGAACAUUGUAGGCGGUGUGGCGGGAGGAGGGCGGGAUGAUCGAUUUUGGCCGGGCUGGCUUGGCGGCCGAAUCGGUCGCGAGUUUUAUCGCGGCGACAACGAAUACGAAAAUAUAGGUCGGCGUGGAAAAUCCUUUGAAAGUCGUCCGUCCGCGUCGACGCGAGCAGCGAUUUUUCACACGCUGUCGCUAAAGCGGCCGGGUUCACGGCGCGUAUAGUGAAUUUUGUCGGGCCGUAGCUUUUAGAUUCCGAGUGUAGCGGAGAAUGUAUUGGGGUGGUUUUUUAAUUUUUUUUUAUCGCGUUAUGCGGAGAUCGCCAACGGUGACGAAACGGCGGGUCCGGCAGCUGUACUACGGCUUGUUCUACUGCCGACCGCAGCCGCCGCGAAAAUAGAGC